rnacentral:rRNA from 1 species
CACGCCGUAAACGGUGGGCACUAGGUGUGGGGGACAUUCCACGUUCUCCGUGCCGUAGCUAACGCAUUAAGUGCCCCGCCUGGGGAGUACGGCCGCAAGGCUAAAACUCAAAGGAAUUGACGGGGGCCCGCACAAGCGGCGGAGCAUGCGGAUUAAUUCGAUGCAACGCGAAGAACCUUACCUGGGUUUGACAUGCACGAGACGCGUUCAGAGAUGGGCGUUCCUUCGGGUUCGUGUGCAGGUGG